rnacentral:rRNA from 1 species
AAGAAGACCUUUUGUCUCCAGGCUGACAUCCAGAAGAAGAUGUAUGAGGCACAUGUCAAUGAGAAGCUUGCAUGGCGUCGCCAAAUUGCAAUGAUGAGGCACCUCAACAUGCCGGUUCAGAGUGGCUCUGAGAAGAGCAUCACCCCAGAGGAGCAUUGGAUUUCUACCCAUAGCACCUGGACUGAUGAUGAAGACCCUCCCCAGCCAUCCUCCUUGUUUGCAGCAGCUGACAAUGUCAUGGAAGAAUCUGAUCACGACGACGAUGACGACUCUGAUGAUGAGGAUCCAGAUGCGACCGAUGGGUCAGAGGAG